UACGUAGGGUGCAAGCGUUAAUCGGAAUUACUGGGCGUAAAGCGUGCGCAGGCGGUUUUGUAAGUCUGACGUGAAAGCCCCGGGCUUAACCUGGGAAUUGCGUUGGAGACUGCAAGGCUUGAAUCUGGCAGAGGGGGUAGAAUUCCACGUGUAGCAGUGAAAUGCGUAGAGAUGUGGAGGAACACCGAUGGCGAAGGCAGCCCCCUGGGUCAAGAUUGACGCUCAUGCACGAAAGCGUGGGGAGCAAACAGG
rnacentral:rRNA from 1 species